AAAACCAUCAAGCUGCUUUAUGUUUCUGUCUCUGUGUCCUCAGAGUCCAGAGGACAGGUCACUGUGACUCAGUCUGCAGCAGUGAGCUCUGCUGUUGGACGAUCUGUCACCAUCAGCUGUAAAACCAGUCCCAGGGUUUAUACGUUUUUCAACACUCAUGAUUUAUCCUGGUACCAACAGAAAGAUGGACAAACUCCUAAACUCCUCGUUUAUGGUGCCAGCACUCGAGAAUCAGGGACUCCAGAUCGUUUUACAGGCAGAGGAUCAGACUCUGACUUCAGUCUGACCAUCAGUAAUAUUCAGGCUGAAGAUGCUGCAGUUUAUUACUGUCAGAGUUAUAACAGUG